GAAAGUAAACAAGGGCGCAUGGAGGAUGCCUAGGCUCUCGGAGGCGAAGAAGGACGUGAUAAGCUGCGAAAAGUUACGGUAAGGCGCAAAUAGCCCUAGACCCGUAAAUAUCCGAAUGGGGCAACCCGGCCAGCAAUGGCCAUACCGCCAAGCGGUAAGCCAACGCGGGGAACUGAAACAUCUAAGUACCCGCAGGAAAAGAAAAUAACAAUGAUUCCGCCAGUAGUGGCGAGCGAACGCGGAACAGCCCAAACCACCCGUGUUACGGCACGAGUGGGGUAGAAGGAUCCACGCUACGGCAAGAAAUAAGUUAGCAGAAUACGAUGGAAAUCGUAGCCAAAGACGGUGACAGCCCGGUACGCGAAAACGGACAGAAGCCCAGUGGACACCUGAGUAACCCAGGACACGAGAAAUCCGGGGCGAAUCAGCGGGGCCCAUCCCGUAAGGCUAAAUACUCCCGAGAGACCGAUAGCGAACCAGUACUGUGAAGGAAAGGUGAAAAGAACCUCGAACAGAGGAGUGAAACAGACCCUGAAACCAUGCGCCUACAAGCGGUCGGAGCAUGUUAAAAUGUGACGGCGUGCCUUUUGCAUAAUGAACCUACGAGUUACUCUCGCUGGCAAGGUUAAGCGAUUCAGUCGCGCAGCCGAAGCGAAAGCAAGUCCGAACAAGGCGUACAGUCAGCGGGAGUAGACGCGAAACCAAGUGAUCUACCCUUGGUCAGGUUGAAGGUUGGGUAACACCAACUGGAGGACCGCACCGAUAAGCGUUGAAAAGCUUACGGAUGAACUGAGGGUAGGAGUGAAAGGCCAAUCAAACUUGGAGAUAGCUCGUACUCCCCGAAAUGCAUUUAGGUGCAGCCUCGAAGUAAAGUGAUAGAGGUAGAGCGACUGAUAAGAUGCGAGGGCUUCACCGCCUAUCAAGUCUUGACAAACUCCGAAUACUAUCACUUGAUCUUCGGGAGUGAGGGCAUGGGUGCUAAGGUCCAUGUCCGAAAGAGGAACAACUCAGACCACCAGCUAAGGUCCCGAAAUAAGGGCUAAGUUGAAUAAACGAAGUAAAACUGCAAAGACAGCUAGGAUGUUGGCUUGGAAGCAGCCAUUCAUUUAAAGAGUGCGUAACAGCUCACUAGUCGAGGAGUUUUGCAUGGAUAAUAAUCGGGCAUAAGCCCUUUACCGAAGCUGUGGAUGUCGUAAGACAUGGUAGGGGAGCAUUCCGGCGGCGACGAAGGCCGUCCUCGAGGACGACUGGAGCUUUCGGAAAAGCAAAUGUAGGUAUAAGUAACGAUAAAGGGGGCGUGAAACCCCCUCGCCAUAAGACUAAGGAUUCCUGAUCAACGCUAAUCGGAUCAGGGUAAGUCGGGCCCUAAGGCGCAGCCGAACGGCGUAGCCGAUGGAAGAAACGGUAAAGAUUCCGUUACUGGAUAUAGGAGCGAUGUGGAGACGGAGAAGUGACACACCCGCCUGCCGACGGAAGCGCAGGUUAAAGGAAGUAGGUAAACGCCGGGUAGGCAAAUCCGCCUGGCGUGCCGAAGCUGACAGUAUCGAGAGCCCCCGGGCAAUCGAAUAGCGGUGGUAAUCAGGCUCCCAAGAAAAUCCGCUAAGCAUAUUCUAUAUCCACCCGUACCCCAAACGGACACACGUAGUCGGGUAGAAUAUACCAAGGCGCUCGAAAGACUCACGGUUAAGGAACUAGGCAAAUUGACCCUGUAACCUCGGGAAAAAGGGUCCCCAGUAAGAUGGGGCGCAGAGAAUAGGUCCAGGCAACUGUUUAACAAAAACACAGGGCUGUGCAAAAUUUCAAGAUGAAGUAUACAGCCUGACACCUGCCCGGUGCCGGAAGGUUAAGAGGAGAGCUAAUCGCAAGAGAAGGCUUGAAUUGAAGCCCCGGUAAACGGCGGCCGUAACUAUAACGGUCCUAAGGUAGCGAAAUUCCUUGUCGGGU
rnacentral:rRNA from 1 species